AACGAACGCUGGCGGCAGGCUUAACACAUGCAAGUCGAACGCAUGCCUUCGGGCAUGAGUGGCAGACGGGUGAGUAACGCGUGGGAACCUACCCCUUGGUACGGGAUAGCUCCGGGAAACUGGAGAUAGUACCGUAUGUGUCCUGAGGGACAAAGAUUCAUCGCCAAGGGAUGGGCCCGCGUCGGAUUAGCUAGUUGGUGGGGUAACGGCCUACCAAGGCGACGAUCCGUAGCUGGUCUAAGAGGAUGAUCAGCCACAUUGGGACUGAGACACGGCCCAAACUCCUACGGGAGGCAGCAGUGGGGAAUAUUGGACAAUGGGCGCAAGCCUGAUCCAGCCAUGCCGCGUGAGUGAUGAAGGCCCUAGGGUUGUAAAGCUCUUUCACCGGUGACGAUAAUGACGGUAACCGGAGAAGAAGCCCCGGCUAACUUCGUG
rnacentral:rRNA from 1 species